AUAUAAAUUAAUUCUGUUGUCUGAAUAGCAUGAGAAUCCAUACUAUUUCAGUUUUUUCAUCUUUUUUGUAAGUUGAAAAAUUCAGACAACAGAUAACAGUCGUUUGAAAAAACUGAUAAAUUCUCAUUAAAGGUUGAAAAUUAGGACAACAUUUAUAUGUUGUCUGAGUAGACAAAAAAAUAAUUUCCCCCAGUCUGACCAAAAAUAAAUUUUUGGCACAACUACACUUAUCCAUCCUUUUUUCCCUAAGACCCCGUGUUUUUCCCACACUUAACUGAAAUUUUCAUAAACUCAGCUUUCUUCCAUCGCGCCUAGAUCUCUCGACCUAGAGGUUCAUUCCAUAGAAACUCAAAUCGAUUCAUUCAUGUCUCAAUCGACCUAGAGGUACUUCCUGAGCUGGGUUUUUGGAGAGAGAAGAGUUUUAUCAACCUCUCUCCGAGCUUGUGGCUCUCGUCGCUGUUGGUGGAGUUCUUCAACUUGAAGAAGGAAUGAGCCCAAAGAAUUCAUUCACUGUUGUUCAUUAUACACUCUUAGUGGGCUCUCUCCCUCGGUUGCGAAUCGCUUUAAUCUUCAACCUCCAGGUCUCUCUCUCCCUCUCUCUUGUAAGUUCUUCGUACUGCAGGACAAGAUUCAAUUCUUCAAAUUUUCUGAUUGAACAAAAAAGAAAUUGGGUUUUUUGAUAUUGAUGUUUGAUUGGGUUUUGAUUGGCACCCGUACAACCACCACCGUCUUUGGAGGCAACAGUUGACCAAUUUUUUCAAAACCCAAGCAGAGUUGCUUGGGACUUCGAGGAAAACAUUGAAGACAGACAUUGUGAACUUCCUGGAAGGCUUUAAUUUGACUCUGGAAGAUGUUAAAGUUCAGUACAAUGGGCCUUUUGUGUUGUCUAGAUUG